AUCGCCAGCUUAGGGGGCCUGUAUACAGCAUGAGUCGCCUCGAAGAGAGAGGCCUAGCCCUCACCCUGUGCGAGGCUCCAGCCCGAGAGAUGUGCUUACUCCCGAGUAUGAUCAUGGUCGGAUCCCUAGCCCUCGAACAGAGAGGGUUAGUCCUGAUGAUUACCGUCGUUAAGCUAGCCCAGAUUUAAAGCCUGAGCAUUAGGACAGUCCCGGAUACAAUGGAGGAGAAAGCCCUAUACCUGACAGAUACCGGAGGUAUGUGUUGGCCUGAAGGUUUUUAAAGUUAGUUUAUAUAGUUUAUCUGAAUUUUUGUUUUAAUCUGUUGUUGAUUUGAGUUUUGUGGAUAUGCAAUUUUAUAAUGUACAUUUUUUAAGUUUGUUACGAGUGUAAAGUGUUUGAAAAAAUACCUGACUGUGCAUUGGUUCGUUUAUCUAAUGCUAUACUGUCUAAAUUGAUCCUCUUGCACUGGGAAAUCAACUAAUUUAAUCGCGUUUGAGGUCAUUUUCUUGUCCAUAGCUUUUGUAAUAUAAAAUUUAGUAGUGUGGUAUGUUACAAUUGUGCAAUAAUUUGGAGGUUAUUUUGACUGUGAUAGGAUGAAUUAGAAAUAUGGAAUUUAGUUGUUGUUGUGCUUCAAGUUUAUUAUAGAAUAAUAUUAACUGCCAGUAGCCCAGGCCUUUCAUUCGGUUCCCUAGUUUUUGUAUGAUGUUGACUGUUUUUUAUUGAUGCAUGCUAAAGUGUACUUUGCUGGUUUGGCAUGGUUUGGGCCAGAUGGUCUGGUCAGCUGCUGCAAUCUUAUGCUUUUUUGGCCUGGGGCUGGACUGCUUUGACUGCAGUUGUGUCUAGGCAGCUGUGUCUACUUUUCUGCAGCUGGAGGCUGGAUGUCGUCGCCUUUCGGUUGGGUUUCCAGUUUGGUUAUACAACAUGUCUCGGCAGCUGGGUUUUGGUUGGGCAUGGAUGCUCAUGCUCCUGUUUCUCAGCCGUUCUUUCUCUUUGUUGGUGGGCCGCUGUGUUUAGUUUUAUUUGUGUUGCUGGGUUAUGUUGGGUUCAAUUUGGGGCUUCAAUUUUGUUGCUAUGACCUGCUGUGUGCUGCUGGGAAAAUUUUGGCUGUCUUGCUGUUCUGCCUAAUGUUUGGUUGUUACAGGUUUCAAUCUGUUUCAAGCCAUUUGUUUGCAGGUGUUGAGCAUGGGCUGGACUGAUUUCGUGCAGCUGUUUUCUAGGCAGCUGUUGGAUUAAAAUAGAAAGGAUGUGAUGUUUUGAUGCCUGUUUCUACUGCUGCUUGUUGCUGGUUGUUGCUUGUUUGCUGUUUGGCUUGGUUUUAGCUAAAUUUAGCAAAAAAAAAACAAGAAGAAAUUGGUGGUUACUUUUUUUGUUCCUUAUUUUGCAAUUAGAAAUCUUCUAUACUAGUCUCAUUGAUUCCUACUUUGUAAGCAGCUUCUCACAUUAGCAUACUGCUUUAUGUUAAAUCAUAUUGUGCAAGUUGGACCAGCAUCUCCAGUAGGCUUUAUGUUAAAUCAUAUCUUGGGUUAACCUCAUUUAUGGCUGCAAAAUAUUGUGGGCAGUCUAAUUUGAACUGUUUAUGAUAAUCCAACAAAAAUAUAUUUAUAGUUCCCGGUUCUGCUUUACAGACUGGAGAUUUCUCAUAACCUGAGAAAAACAUCGAAUUGUUUGUUUGGGGUUCUGGUAGUUUCUUGUUUGGUUGAUGAUAAUUCUGAAGCAAAUGCUGAAUCAGUGUCUUCUGCUUCAAAUGGCUCCAUCCCGGUAUAUUCUUAUUGAUGCAAUAAAUUUUUAUAGAUUAAUGUUCUUUUGGCACUAAUCAAAUUUGAGGUCUUUAUGUUAUUCAUGCUAUAAACUAAUCUCCAGUGUUAGUAUGCAUAGGUGGGCAGUGUGAGUUUGAUUGCGUUCACACCUUUAUACAGAUUUCAAUUAUUGUUAGGUACCAAUAAUUUUUAUAGCUUUUUGAAUUUGAAGGUUAAUGUUGAAUGUAUUAGGAUUGAUUAGUGUGGAUAGUUGGAAAAUUGUGCAAUAGUCAGUAAGUGAAAUGUGUUAAAUAUAGAUAAAAUGUCUUGUUAAUAUAUAGAUACCAACACCUUUAUGAUCAUAAUUUCCCUUCAUUUUUCUGACUUUGUUAUUAUUUUUAAAUGUGCAGGAAGACUGCUUCUACUACCUGCCUUACAAUACUGGGUAUCAAAUUUCUGUGCUACGUUUAUGGAAGACAAAGGACGAAAUUAUGAAGUGUACUCUCUCUAUAUAUGUAGAUAUAUACUUUGAUUGAAGAAAUGUGGUAGCUUUAGAUGGUUAAUUGUAAAGAUAAUUAAUGAUUAUGUAGUGGAUGAUUUUAUUAAGUUAAUAAUAUUUAGUUUUUUGUAUUUUUGCC
rnacentral:lncRNA from 1 species